CAAACUUGCUGCAAAGACUGUGGAAGAGGAUGGGCGGUCAUGAACCUGUACUCAUUUUUGGGCUGAGGUCUCCUUGCCAAUGGCAGACGGGAGCUGUAACCAUAACAACAGAGGACGAAUCCUGUUUCUGGAAUCAGCAGCGGCAGCACUGCUUCCUCACCAGAUCAACAAAACACUGUUUCUGAUGAACAAUGCCCAGAUACCCUGUUGCAUCUCUCUC